rnacentral:rRNA from 1 species
UACGUAGGUGGCAAGCGUUGUCCGGAUUUACUGGGCGUAAAGGAUGCGUAGGCGGACAUUUAAGUCAGAUGUGAAAUACCCGAGCUUAACUUGGGUGCUGCAUUUGAAACUGGGUGUCUAGAGUGCAGGAGAGGUAAGUGGAAUUCCUAGUGUAGCGGUGAAAUGCGUAGAGAUUAGGAAGAACACCAGUGGCGAAGGCGGCUCACUGGACCGGUACUGACGCUGAUGCGCGAAAGCGUGGGAAGCAAACGGG